UUUAAACAAAGUAAAAGCGGAAGAAUAAUCAAGUACUAAAUGUAGUCGACAUGUGGUUCGAUCUUGUCUCUGAAACCACUGUACAUCUUAAGGCAGCUGAAAGGAGGCUCAGCAUCGUCCCUCUACACAGAUGUUGCAGGUGUUGAUUCGGUCUCUAUGGUUUCAUCCAGUUUCCCAUUGAUUUCAUUUCAUUAAAUCCCCCAUUUGUCAGAAAGAGUCAUUUUUAGAAGCGAUAGGUGUCAGGACAUCGCGGAAGUCUAGAGACAAACCCUUGUUGCGUUCCUCCAUGAAGAGGAACAGAGUGAGGCUCAGUCUGGGCUGGAGAAGAUCGUCACGCGUCCAAUCGUUGCUGGGCUAACGAGGCAUCCUUUCAACAAACGUUUGUCGUUCAUUGUGCACAGCUUGGUAACCAGCACAUUACCUGCAAACAUCUGGGAGUCUAAUCCAGACCCAACGUGACCAACAGGCCACCGUCACUGGCUUUGAGCCCGUGCGACGACCGACUCCACGCUCUGCAUAACGUAUUGUCCUAUUGAGAUUCUCCGGGCGCUCGCUGAAGUCAUCUUAUUGUUGAUGUGACGCCGAGUCCUGAGCACCUCUCCAUCAGUCGGUGACUAAACUCCACACAGGACAGUUAGAAUCAGGAGGAGGAACGACGUGGAUCUAGAAACAGGCAGGUUUUCAGCCACACUAAUGGACCCAGCCUGCUUUGCCUGUGAGAUGUUCCAGAUUUAUCAUUCCAUAUAUAACACAUGAAAGAUCUGUUUCAGGUCCUGGCUUGUGCUAAAUCACUGCAGAUCUAACGAGGAGGCUUUAGCUUUGAGCUGAUGCAGCUUCUCCGCAGGCAAUGAGAUCAAAUCUAAAAGGACAUGACAUUUUUAUUAAGUCUAAUGUCUUUAUCUUGCAUUCCAGCUGU